GACGUAGGGCGCGAGCGUUGUCCGGAUUUAUUGGGCGUAAAGAGCUCGUAGGCGGUCUGUCGCGUCCGUUGUGAAAACUCGAGGCUCAACCUCGGGCUUGCAGUGGAUACGGGCAGACGUAGAGUGCGGUAGGGGAGACUGGGAAUUCCUGGUGUAGCGGUGGAAUGCGCAGAUAUCAGGAGGAACACCGAUGGCGAAGGCAGGUCUCUGGGCCGCAACUGACGCUGAGGAGCGAAAGCAUGGGGAGCGAACAGG
rnacentral:rRNA from 1 species